rnacentral:rRNA from 1 species
UACGAAGGGUGCAAGCGUUACUCGGAAUUACUGGGCGUAAAGCGUGCGUAGGUGGUUCGUUAAGUCUGCUGUGAAAGCCCUGGGCUCAACCUGGGAAUGGCAUUGGAUACUGGCGACCUAGAGUGCGGUAGAGGGUGGCGGAAUUCCCGGUGUAGCAGUGAAAUGCGUAGAUAUCGGGAGGAACAUCCGUGGCGAAGGCGGCCACCUGGACCAGCACUGACACUGAGGCACGAAAGCGUGGGGAGCAAACAGG